ACCUGGGGGACUCGAGCCUGCCGGCUCUGCUCGCCAAGGUCGGCUCUUGCCAGUCACUGGCAUGACAGCUUAGGCGAACAGACCCUCCAAGGAUAGGAUCUCCACCAUUUUCCGUGGAAAACUAUUCCACAGCCCGUGUUCUGAUCUCUUUCCUGUGAGCCAUACUCAAUUGUUCAGAAAAGAAGAUGAAGAUAUCUGAAACGUAUUAAGAAGAAGCCACAAUAUCUGCUGGCUGUGGCAGGUACACCACUGGGAAAUCGGAAAAACAUGAAAAAGUACUUGAGCAAAAGAAUCCCUUUCCAUUAAACAAGACUUGGGGAAUGAAAUCUUAUUUGGACUUCGCGAUGUAAAAAGACAUUAAAAAAUGACCCAGGAUGGAAAGCCUUGUUUGCUCCGUGAGUAGU